rnacentral:misc_RNA from 1 species
CGCGAAGGUUCACCACCUAGUUUUUCGCCCUCAAAUUCACCAAUUUCCGAACACUGCGAGGCGCAUUCCUUUCGAUCUCGUUCGCCAUCGCCCACAUCACACCAUAGCGUUUGUUAUUAAUCUUAUUGGUACGAAUAAAUAUCAUCCUACCAAACAUUUGUAAAAUUUAUUCAGUUAGAAGCUAGAAUAUUUAUUUAUUGUACAUAGCUGUAUAGUAUAUCUACAUUUGCAUCCGACGAUAAUUAUUGCUGAUAUUGUAAUACCUUCAAUCAACUAACAACGAAUAAAUUAAAAUAUAGUUAAAUCAACAUAACUCUGUUAGACGAAAUAAAUACGUUGCCAAUUGUCUAUCCCUAAUAACUUUAAUCCUCUCCCGUGCCAGUAUUUCUGCGCAUAGCAGGUUAGCCGAAAGGUGGAAUUCGUUUGCCAGUUGCAUCAAACGUAAGUCAACGUCACCCAUUAAACACCAGUUAGUAGAUAAUAGACUCUCACCUAGUUCAAAAGACACGACAGACAGGGUACAAGGUUUGUUUUCCUACAGGCAAGAAAGUGCUUAUAGAGGCACUUCCAGUCUGGGAAUUCAAAAGACACAACAGAUAAGGGUACAAGGUUUGUUUUCCUACAGGCAAGAAAGUGCUUACAGAGGCACUUCCAGUCUGGGAAUUCAACAGACACAACAGACAAGGUACAAGAUUUGCUUUCCUACAGCCACGAAGGUGCUUAUAGAGGCACUUCCAGACUGGGAAUCCAAAAGACACGAUAGACAAACAAUACCCAUCAUACACUAACACUUCCAACUUUAAGAAAUAAUAAUAAUAAAAGGAAAUUCUUUGAAAUAGUCCUUAGAUUGUUUCUGGUGGCAGCAACUACCAUAUUAAUCGGACAUCUCAAUUAAUAUUUCAUAAACAAUCAUACCAUUUCAAUUUUCCCCUUCCGAUUAAACUUAAGAUAACACAACAAAAAAAAAAAAAAAAAAAAUUUAUCUGGAUUUAGUCUAGACUAACACGGAAGGCAUAGCACAAUCAGAUCGAACAUAACAGAACGUAACAAC